GUAGAGAGAGAGAGAGAGAGAGAGAGAGAGAGGGUUCUUGAGAGUUGAGUCCAAGAGUUCAAGAGUUCAAGAAGAAAGAUAGGAGCUUGAGCUUUUUUUCAACAAAUCACCAAAUUAAGAUUUUGGGACUUCCAAACACCCAGCGCUGCACGUGUGGAAAACAGGGCAGAUUUGAGGAGUAGUCUGCUUAAAUUGUAGGUGCGGGAGGCACGUGUGGAGAUGGUCCCGCACAUGCGGCAAGGACCCCUGCGCACGCAGCAGUUAGGUGGCCAGGUACUGGAGCAAAGUUAGCGGCGUUAACCUGAAUCUGUUUUGUCAAGCCAACCUAAUGUGCCUCACCACAAGGUUCUGAAUUGUUAAUGUCAAGGCUGUUUGGGUGCUUUAAAUCCACCCAUUUUGGAAUGUUAUUUGGAGUCAAGAGAAUGUUUUAUAAUUUGUUUUCGCUUUGAGAUUUAAUUCCCUAACAUGUCUUUUGUUUGUACUUGGAUGUGUUUGGACUUAAGCUUUUAUACAUAUGUUUGGUUAUGGUCUUGGACUUAUGUGUGUAUCGGUAAAUAUAUAUAAAAGUUGUUG